rnacentral:rRNA from 1 species
GUAGGUGGCAAGCGUUGUCCGGGAAUUAUUGGGGCGUUAAAGCGCGCGCAGGCGGUUCUUUAAGUCUGAUGUGAAAGCCCACGGGCUCAACCGUGGAGGGUCAUUGGAAACUGGAGAACUUGAGUACAGAAGAGGAAAGCGGAAUUCCACGUGUAGCGGUGAAAUGCGUAGAGAUGUGGAGGAACACCAGUGGCGAAGGCGGCUUUCUGGUCUGUAACUGACGCUGAGGCGCGAAAGCGUGGGGAGCAAACAGGAUUAGAUACCCUGGUAGUCCACGCCGUAAACGAUGAGUGCUAAGUGUUAGGGGGUUUCCGCCCCUUAGUGCUGCAGCUAACGCAUUAAGCACUCCGCCUGGGGAGUACGACCGCAAAGGCUGA